CUCUCCUCUCCUCUCUUCUCCAGCAUCUCACCCACUUUCUCUCCUUCUCAAUCUCCUGCUCCCACCUCCAGCACCUUCGGGGAUUCCCUCUUGUAGCCCCUGCUUUCUAAGUCCACCCUGGGCUGGGGAAAGGAAAGUAAGAGACCACGGGGACAAUUUCAAGCCCCCCAGUCUCCACAGGGGCUAGUCCCCCUGGCUACCUGCCUGGCUUUCUCUCUCCUGGGCUAGGGGCUGGGGAGGUCUGCGGGGCUCAGUCCUGGCCCUGCAGUAUCCCAACACCCUGCUCUGGGGCUGUCUCCAGAGCCAAAGGCUAGUGCCUGAGGUCACAGAGGUGGGAGGGACAGGGCCACCGCUCCCGCCUGGGCUCCAUCCAGCACAAGAGCCAGGCUCACUCACUGCCAACAGCCAAGGCUCACAGCUGGGGUCCGCAGAGGUGGCCGGGGCAUGCCCUGUGACCAGGCAGGGAUGGGCUAUGUCGCUGUUGGGGACCACGAGGGAUGGCCAGUGAGGAGGGGUCAGAGGCUGUGAGGGGAGGACUGAGGCUGGGUGCGGUGGCUCACAUCUGUAAUCCCAGUAGUUUGGGAGACCGAGGCAGGUGGAUCAUGAGGCCAGGAGUUCCAGACCACCCUGACCAACAUGGUGAAACCCCGUCUCUACUAAAAAUAC
rnacentral:lncRNA from 1 species